rnacentral:rRNA from 1 species
UACGUAGGUGACAAGCGUUGUCCGGAUUUACUGGGCGUAAGGAGCGCGCAGGUGGCCGCGCAAGUCGAGUGUGAAAUCCCCGGGCUUAACUUGGGAAUUGCGCUCGAAACUACGUGGCUCGAGUGUGGCAGAGGAAGGUGGAAUUCCACGUGUAGCGGUGAAAUGCGUAGAGAUGUGGAGGAACACCGAUGGCGAAGGCAGCCUUCUGGGCCAACACUGACGCUCAUGCACGAAAGCGUGGGGAGCAAACAGG